GAGUAAUUUAUUCAAAUCCAAGAUUUAGAAAAGAGGCAAAUUGCCUCUUUAUAUUUUCCAUUAGUGAAUAUAUUUAGACAUUCACUGUAAAUUCUGUAAUUUCUUAAAUGUAAUUCAUUUCCUUGCAACAUUUAUCUUAAUAUCGCCCCAGAUGCUCCUAAAAGUGAGAGUCUCGGCUUUUCUCAGUGAUCGCAACAGUUACCGUAACUAUAGCACGAAUCGCGCACCUUGAAUAUAGCGACGGCUCAUUUGACCACGGAAAAGUAAACGGCGGUUCAUUUGACCGUGGUGACACACCGGAGCAAACGGCAACUGUAGCUUGUUUGAUCCUUUCGGUAAUUAAUCGUACUGCAUCUACUGUAUUUAUGACAAUGAGUAGCACAUGUGUACAGCGAGCGGCGCUACAAUAAGUAUAGUGAAUUUUACUGUCUUGUCGUCUGCGUUAGAUUAAAGAUUAUGACACAAUAAAAAAGUGCUACCACUAGCAUCAUAAUGGCUCAGAGAACUUUCCUUUUACGAUGCAAACAAAUCGUUAAUAAGUGUACUCGACUUCUACAAGGGGACAGUCCACCAGAUGACGCAUUUCAAACAGUUCUAACAAGAAUGGAAACCCUUAAACGCUGCCUGGAGUGCUCAAGAGGGAGGUUGAUGGAUGCAACAGCAGUACAAGACAUCCUAGAAAACAUUGAGAAAUAUAUUCAGGAGGUCAAGGAAAUGCAACAGGGGGCUCAACAAGUGCUUAUAGACACAAGCUGUUACGGCGAUAAAGAGGCACGUGAUGGCUGGACUGUCAUGCGAGGUGGUGUCAGCAAAAGUAAAACUCACAAGUCAUAGAGUCAAUUGACUCUCUGCAUAUUCGUUGAGCCGAGGGCUGCUUGAAGUGCUGUUUCUGUUGUAAUAGAGAUUAACGUGCACAUGCAUCAUAGACCAGAAGCACAAGUGGCCAUUGGUUUUAAUGCUGUCAACUAGGGCUCAAGCAUGCAUUAAAGAGUCCAUUACCUAAGAUGAUGUGGUUGUUAUUGCUCCUGAUACAAAGUUUUCGGUGUGUACACUUAAUGUCACUUUUCACAAAGACAAAUUCUGUAACAUCUGUUGUCUCUGUUUGAUUAUAGCAGGUAAUGUUUAUAUUAGUGUUUAGAAAGAUAAAAGAAGGUACAGUACUGGGUUGUAUAGCACCGACGCCUGUGUGGUCACGUGUAACACUUGACUGAAGUAUUUCAAAUAGAUUUCAGUAUUCCCCAGUAAAUAAAAAAAACUCUACAAAUGUCCACAGUUACGUCUGUAUUUUACAGUAGAGGUACAUGAUCUGUUUCAUCUUUUGCAUGGUAGAAUGUGACACAUUAUGUAAUUGGGGUGUAACAUUUCUAAACAAUGUGAGAUUAGACCUUGUCAUGGUGUUGGUAUAAUCAGGACAUAUAAUAUCCAGCAUAUAAUAUUAGAGACCAGGAAGAUCAUCAGUGCUGAUGAAGAUCGGGUGAACAGCGCUGGGGACUAAGCAGGUAAGCAAGGUUUCGGCUACAUCUUCCCGAAGAUCAAGGGAAAAUUCACCUCCCAAAUGAUAUCUGAAUGAAGCAUAGCCUCUGGUGGAAGAAGCGUGUCUAUGUGUGGGGACCACUUCAGGUCCAAGGAGCUUGUGGACCCUAGGAACUCCUCUUAAAGUCCACCGUAAUCUUCAUAGUCUAGAGCGUGUUGAGCUCCAACUGGUUCUUUUGUGUAGAGGAAGAACAGUGGGGAGAGGACACAUCCCUGUGGUGCGCCUGUGCUGAUGGAAAGCUGUAUAACAAACUUUUCUGAGUGAAAUAAUUGCCAUUAGGACACAAGUGCUAGAUGUUAUGACAGCACAUAGCGGAAUAAAAAUAAUUUAGUGGUCUUUGGAAAAAACAGUGAAAGCAAAAGUGCAGUUAGAAGGAUUUGAUUUAGAUUUUUGACUUAGAUUUGAGUGAUGGAUACCAACAAUAGAAAAACAUACAGUAGCUUGGAUUUAAAUUCCAAUAAUCACUGUUUUACCAAUAAUAAUCACUGUUUGCUUUGGGAAUGUAUGAGUCUGGUUGUGGAUAUUUCAUAAUUAAUUACACAAUAAAUCUGUGAAUGUUCGUUUUAGACUGUGAAACGAACUGUUUUGGUGAAUGAGCCUAAUGUAUGUCGCAU